GGGAUUGCCCUAGUAACGGCGAGUGAAGCGGCAACAGCUCAAAUUUGAAAUCUGGCUCUUUNAGNGUCCGAGUUGUAAUUUGCAGAGGGCGCUUUGGCGUUGGCAGCGGUCCAAGUUCUUUGGAACAGGACGUCACAGAGGGUGAGAAUCCCGUACGUGGUCGCUAGCCUUCGCCGUGUAAAGCCCCUUCGACGAGUCGAGUUGUUUGGGAAUGCAGCUCUAAAUGGGAGGUAAAUUUCUUCUAAAGCUAAAUACUGGCCAGAGACCGAUAGCGCACAAGUAGAGUGAUCGAAAGAUGAAAAGCACUUUGGAAAGAGAGUCAAAUAGCACGUGAAAUUGUUGAAAGGGAAGCGCUUGCAGCCAGACUUGCCUGUAGUUGCUUAUCYGGACUUUUGUCCGGUGCACUCUUCUGCGGGCAGGCCAGCAUCAGUUUGGGCGGUUGGAUAAAGGUCUCUGUCAUGUACCUCCUUUCGGGGAGGCCUUAUAGGGGAGACGACAURCAACCAGCCUGGACUGAGGUCCGCGCAUCUGCUAGGAUGCUGGCGUAAUGGCUGUAAGCGGCCCGUCUUGAAACACGGACCAAGGAGUCUAACAUCUAUGCGAGUGUUUGGGUGUCAAGCCCAGACGCGUAAUGAAAGUGAACGGAGGUGGGAACCUUUUAGGUGCACCAUCGACCGAUCCUGAUGUCUUCGGAAGGAUUUGAGUAAGAGCAUGGCUGUUGGGACCCGAAAGAUGGUGAACUAUGCUUGAAUAGGGUGAAGCCAGAGGAAACUCUGGUGGAGGCUCGCAGCGGUUCUGACGUGCAAAUCGAUCGUCAAAUUUGGGCAUAGGGGCGAAAGACUAAUCGAACUAUCUAGUAGCUGGUUCCUGCCGAAGUUUCCCUCAGGAUAGCAGUAACGUAUUCAGUUUUAUGAGGUAAAGCGAAUGAUUAGAGGCCUGGGGGUUGAAACAACCUUCACCUAUUCUCAAACUUUAAAUAUGUAAGAAGUCCUUGUUACUUGAUUGAACGUGGACACUUGAAUGUACCGUUACUAGUGGGCCAUUUUUGGUAAGCAGAACUGGCGAUGCGGGAUGAACCGAACGCGGGGUUAAGGUGCCAGAAUAUACGCUCAUCAGACACCACAAAAGGUGUUAGUUCAUCUAGACAGCAGGACGGUGGCCAUGGAAGUCGGAAUCCGCUAAGGAGUGUGUAACAACUCACCUGCCGAAUGAACUAGCCCUGAAAAUGGAUGGCGCUCAAGCGUAUUACCCAUACCCCGCCGCCGGGGCAGAAUUUAUGCCCCGGCGAGUAGGCAGGCGUGGAGGCUCGUGACGAAGCCUUGGGGGUGACCCCG
rnacentral:rRNA from 1 species